rnacentral:rRNA from 1 species
UGGGGAAUUUUGCACAAUGGGGGAAACCCUGAUGCAGCGACGCCGCGUGAUUUAGAAGGCCUUCGGGUUGUAAAAAUCUUUUCUAUGGGAAGAAAAUGACAGUACCAUAGGAAUAAGGACCGGCUAAUUACGUGCCAGCAGCCGCGGUAAUACGUAAGGUCCGAGCGUUGUCCGGAAUCAUUGGGCGUAAAGGGUACGUAGGCGGGUAAGCAAGUUAGAAUUGAAAUCCUAUAGCUCAACUAUAGUAAGCUUUUAAAACUUCUCAUCUUGAGGUAUGGAAGGGAAAGUGGAAUUCCUAGUGUAGCGGUGAAAUGCGCAGAUAUUAGGAGGAAUACCGGUGGCGAAGGCGACUUUCUGGCCAUAACCUGACGAUGAGGUACGAAAGCGUGGGUAGCAAACAGG